CGUUGUUCGGAUUUACUGGGCGUAAAGGGCGCGUAGGCGGCAAUUCAAGUCAUCUGUGAAAUCUCCGGGCUUAACCCGGAACGGUCAGAUGAUACUGCUUUGCUAGAGUGCGGAAGGGGCAAUCGGAAUUCUCGGUGUAGCGGUGAAAUGCGUAGAUAUCGAGAGGAACACCAGAGGUGAAGACGGGUUGCUGGGCCGACACUGACGCUGAUAGCGCGAAAGCGUGGGGGAGCGAACAGG
rnacentral:rRNA from 1 species